rnacentral:lncRNA from 1 species
GACUGUUUCUCCAGCUGUCCUGCUCCUCUCCUUCUGCCAAGGGUGGACCGUGGUGCUGAGGGUCACUGGGAAACCAGCAGCAGCUUCCUCAGGGACCAAACGGAUUUGUUCCUAACUCUGCAGAGUUGGGCUCUGGAGGAAGAUUCCCACCCAGGGGAUGGCUCAAGAAUAGGUCUAUGCUGUUACUUUAUUCAUCUUGCUGUGAUUGCCGGGAGCCUGACCCACAUGAAGUGCAUGAAUGCAUUCUGUCCCUCUCCAGCUAGAUGAACAGACGGUACUCACAGGUAAUUGGAAAGACAGGAAGAGGAGGGUCAGGGCACUUAUUUUUAUGACUUCCU